UGAAUGAACAGAUGCAUGAAUGGAUGGACUAAAAAAUGGCUUCUCCCAUAUUUCUCCUGCAAGGUAAUUGCUUGGGAUUCUUAGAAAUUUAAAGCCAAAAGAGACCUCAAAAUUCAUCUACAGACACAGCCUCAGAUCCAGCAAUGCCAUCAUUUACUGAACAGGCCUGGAUUCCAAGGCAACAUGGGAAAUACUCUUUCAAGCAGACCCCCUUAUGGGAAGUGCAAUAGUACACAGCCUCGACCACCACCCAAGAUCUUGAGUGAAAGUAGGAAGCAAGCAGCUCAUUUCCGAGCAAAUGCAGAAGCGAUUGUUAAACAGCAAUCAUUAAACAAGUCGCCAGAUGAUCCCAGAGCAAACCUGCCUCCUACAGCAGAAACCGGGGUCAGAGGCAGGCCCGGCCAGUACUCACAAGGUAGGAGCCUUGUCUCUGAACGCUGUUUCUGAUCAGCAGUCUUCCUUGUCCCCACUGUCAGUGUCCCAGGAUGGAGCUGACAUUUCUCUCACGCCCGAGCCUCGGUGUUCCCAUGACCGUGUCAUCUCUACCACCUAGCGCUGGGCCAUCAGGGGCAGAGCUUGCCUUGGCACACCCAGUGUCUCACAGGGGUUCACUUUGCUGGUGAGGCGCUUCUUGAGGAUUAAAAUGCUCCCUUCCUCCAGUGUUUGACUGGAAAACCCAACAAAGGUGUUCAUCCCCUCCUGAUUUCUCUGGACAGAUGAAACAUGUGGGUGGUUUCCAGGGCUAACCUAAGCCUCCAGAGGGUGAGCGGGAGGGGUGAGCAGUGAGCAGAUCAAGUGACCUAUGAAAGGGGACCCUCGCCGUCCACCCACCUCCAGACUGGCUGGGGAGGUUUUCUGUGGGAUGGGAGAAGAGUCCAGAUGGGGCCGAAAGGACGUACUGUCUUUGAUAUUCUACACCCUGCUCAUGCUCAGUUUCCCCUUUUGCCCUAUUUCAGCCUUGCACUAAGCAGAAGGCUGUGAGUUUUUUCUCUUUAAAAAAAAAUAAUCACAAACCUCUUUCAAUUGUGCUCAUUCUGCUACCACUGAAGAUGUGGGAAGAGGUGUAGGUGGCUUUUCUUUUUUAACAAUAGGUACAAGCUGUCAAUUCAUUCUA
rnacentral:lncRNA from 1 species